AACGAACGCUGGCGGCAGGCCUAACACAUGCAAGUCGAACGCAUCGCAAGAUGAGUGGCGCACGGGUGAGUAACACGUGGGAAUGUGCCCUUUGGUUCGGAAUAACGUCUGGAAACGGACGCUAAUACCGGAUGUCCCCUGCGGGGGAAAGAUUUAUCGCCAAAGGAGCAGCCCGCGUCUGAUUAGGUAGUUGGUGGGGUAAAGGCCUACCAAGCCGACGAUCAGUAGCUGGUCUGAGAGGAUGAUCAGCCGCACUGGGACUGAGACACGGCCCAGACUCCUACGGGGGGCAGCAGUGGGGAAUAUUGGACAAUGGGCGCAAGCCUGAUCCAGCCAUGCCGCGUGAGUGAUGAAGGCCUUCGGGUUGUAAAGCUCUUUCGCACACGACGAUGAUGACGGUAGUGUGAGAAGAAGCCCCGGCUAACUUCGUGCCAGCCGCCGCCGUAAGAC
rnacentral:rRNA from 1 species